rnacentral:rRNA from 1 species
AGAACGAACGCUGGCGGCAGGCCUCAAACAUGCAAGUCUAGGGGGUGUAGCAAUACAUCACCGGCGGACGGGUGCGUAACGCGUGGGAAUGUACCUAUUGGUUCGGAACAACCCAGGGAAACUUGGGCUAAUACCGAAUGUGCCCGAAAGGGGAAAGAUUUAUCGCCAAUGGAUCAGCCCGCGUAGGAUUAGCUAGUUGGUGGGGUAAUGGCCCACCAAGGCUCCGAUCCUUAGCUGUUCUGAGAGGAAGAUCAGCCACACUGGGACUGAGACACGGCCCAGACUCCUACGGGAGGCAGCAGUUGGGAAUCUUGGACAAUGGGGGAAACCCUGAUCCAGCCAUGCCGCGUGAGUGAUGAAGGCCUUCGGGUUGUAAAACUCUUUCGCGCACGACGAUAAUGACGGUAGUGCGAGAAGAAGCUCCGGCUAACUUCGUGCCAGCAGCCGC